GUGUCCUAGAAACAACCAUAUGCUGGAGAAUGGAAUUCCAUAAGGCACUCUCUUAGAUAAAGGAAGUGCCAUCCAUCCUGUUGCCAUCUGCUAAAAUCCUCAGCCCACCUGCAUAGUGAACACCAUUCAUUGUUUUCCAGAAAUGUGCAAGAACCACAGUCUCCCCCAAGACUGAAGGUAACAUCAGGAAGCAUACUAUGUAAGACAGAUACAAAGGGGAGCUGCUGUAUGGUAAAUUUGAGGUCAACUGAGACUCCCUGUGGUUUUCCCCAAAACCUGAUAAUAAGUCAAGAGUUAAGAAGGUAUGAAGAGAGAGGAAAUUAAGCUGGAGUGCACUUUGGUCCCACCUCCACUACAACACUAUUUUGUGAUCAGAGGAAAUGAAGCUUGCAAUAUUGCCAGACCACAAAGCCAGACAUCUCUGCUACAUUUUCUAGCAAAAGAGGUUUCAUGGAGAGCUUACUUCCUCAAGUUCACUUUGGUCUUAAUGAGGGUUAAGUCUGAUGGGUGGAACGCAGAUUAUCUACCUGUGCUUUAACUACAAAGUAGCCUGGUGAGGCACUGAUGGAGAUCUACAAGCAUCAGGACCAUCUGGGAAAUCAUGGCCUCACCAAUUGAACUAAGUAAAGAACCAGUGACCAGUCCUGGAGAGGCAUAGGAGAUCUCUUAACCAGUUGACCAAGUAACCAUCACUCUGUUCCAUCUAGUCUUACUGAGGCCCACUGAUCAGUAGACCUCCUCGGCAUUCGAUGUUCUUCUCCCAUCAGCUAAAUUAUGUAUUUAUUAGGUG
rnacentral:lncRNA from 1 species